CCGACCUUAGUUCAGUUGGUAGAGCGGAGAACUGUAGAUCCUUAGGUCGCUGGUUCGAAUCCGGUAGGUUGGA
rnacentral:tRNA from 1 species